CAGCGGCUGCGGGGUUAGGUUGUGCGGUGUUUGAGGAACACACUUUCUGGGUGUGUACAGGUUUUGCCGGAGUUCCUCUGCCUGGUGCACGUAGCGUAGAGCCGCGCGCUCGUCCGACUGCAACAGCUCGGCCUCGUGAAGAGCCUUCAGCUUGCGGAUCUCUUGCUUGUGUUUGGAGAUGAGUCUCUGGAUUUCCGGCUCUAGUCCUGCAAGAAUACACAGUCUAUGAAACGGU